GAACACCUCCCCAUGCAUUAAAACUCUCUAUUGUUUGAAGGUUUGUUGCAGGGUAAAGAUACCGUGGAAAAACCCAAGUGCACGAGACACUCACACAAGUGAUUUCCGGAGUUAAACGCUUCGAAGGCAACGUGUGACCAUGAACCUAUUCGUUGUCGUGGCCCUUACUAUUUGCUUGGUUUCAGCGGAUCGUCCCAAUGCCUGCUACAUGGCUCCGUCUAAAGGCCCGUGCAAGGCAAACAUCACGAGGUUCUACUUCAAUCCAAGAUCUCUGGAUUGCCUGAAAUUCAUCUACGGAGGAUGUGGGGGAAACGCCAAUAAUUUUGCCACAUAUCAAACAUGCAUGAAAACGUGUAAAUAAUAUUACGCACAGCACGGGAGCCUGAACUAUCGCAUGAACAAGCAAGGUGGGACAUCCUUGAGAAGCAGGAGCCGUACGAGGAGGACCUUGAACACGGGGUUAUCGGUCGACGCAUCAUUCAUCUGCACAUUGACAUCACCAGAGCUAUUAUCAUCAAAUAUUGCUGCCAUUCUA